rnacentral:misc_RNA from 1 species
GAUGAAGAACGCAGCGAAAUGCGAUAAGUAAUGUCAAUUGCAGAAUUCAGUGAAUCAUCGAAUCUUUGAACGCACCUUGCGCCCUUUGGCCAUUCCGAAGGGCAUGCCUGUUUGAGUAUCAUGAACACCUCAACUCUUUAUGGUUUUCCAUGAUGAGCUUGGACUCUGGGGGUUUUGCUGGCUCACAGUCGGCUCCUCUAAAAUGAAUCAGCUUACCAGUGUUUGGUGGGUAUCAUGGGUGUGAUAACUAUCUACGCUUGUGGUUUUUCCACCAGGUAACCUUCAGCAGUGGAGGUUCGCUGGAGCUCAUAGAUGUCUCUCCUCAGUGAGGACAGCCCUUUGAAUGUUUGAUCUCAAAUCAGGUAGGACUACCCGCUGAACUUAAGCAUAUCAAUAAGCGGAGGA